UACGAAGGGGGCUAGCGUUGCUCGGAAUUACUGGGCGUAAAGCGCACGUAGGCGGCUUCUUAAGUCGGUGGUGAAAGCCUGUGGCUCAACCACAGAAUGGCCUUCGAUACUGGGACGCUUGAGUAUGGUAGAGGUUGGUGGAACUGCGAGUGUAGAGGUGAAAUUCGUAGAUAUUCGCAAGAACACCGGUGGCGAAGGCGGCCAACUGGACCAUUACUGACGCUGAGGCGCGAAAGCGUGUGAGCAAACAGG
rnacentral:rRNA from 1 species